ACAUUGGCCUGGGAACACCUCGGGAUCCUCCAGUCAGAGGUAGUUAAUUUGGACCGGGAAAGAGAAGUUUGGGGUUCCCGACUGGAGCUGUUGCUCCCACGACCCGAUCCGGAAUAAGUGGUUGAAGAUGAGUGAAGAUGUGAUCGUCACAAGUCUCAC